CACGGACCAAGGAGUCUAACAUGUGCGCGAGUCAUUGGGCAUUGCUAAACCCAAAGGCGCAAUGAAAGUGAAGGCGCAACCCCCACCGGGGGCCGCCGAGGGAAGAUGGCCGUCGCAAACGCGGGCUCUGCCCGGGCGCGGCUCGCAUUCCCGGGGCGUCUCGCUCCUCCUCGCGAGGGGAGGCGCACCCAGAGCGCACACGUUGGGACCCGAAAGAUGGUGAAYUAUGCCCGGCCAGGACGAAGUCAGGGGAAACCCUGAUGGAGGUCCGUAGCGAUUCUGACGUGCAAAUCGAUCGUCGGAGCUGGGUAUAKGKGCGAAAGACUAAUCGAACCAUCUAGUAGCUGGUUCCCUCCGAAGUUUCCCUCAGGAUAGCUGGUGCUCGGAGGAGUCUCAUACGGUAAAGCGAAUGAUUAGAGGCCUUGGGGCCGAAACGACCUCAACCUAUUCUCAAACUUUAAAUGGGUGAGACCCCCGGCUUGCUCGGGGCGUGAAGCCGGAGACGGAUCCGGAGUGCCAAGUGGGCCACUUUUGGUAAGCAGAACUGGCGCUGUGGGAUGAACCAAACGCCGAGUUAAGGCGCCCGAAUCGACGCUCAUGGGAAACCAUGAAAGGCGUUGGUUGCUUAAGACAGCAGGACGGUGGCCAUGGAAGUCGGAAUCCGCUAAGGAGUGUGUAACAACUCACCUGCCGAAGCAACUAGCCCUGAAAAUGGAUGGCGCUGAAGCGUCGUGCCUAUACUCGGCCGUCGGAGGCAUUGGGGGCCGCCGACCUCACAAGGGUCGGCGCCCGAAGAAGCCCCGACGAGUAGGAGGGUCGCGGCGGUGAGCGCAGAAGGGCACCGGCGUGAGCCUGCCUGGAGCCGCCGUCGGUGCAGAUCUUGGUGGUAGUAGCAAAUACUCCAGCGAGGCCCUGGAGGACUGAUGCGGAGCAGGGUUUCGUGUGAACAGCCGUUGCACACGAGUCAGUCGAUCCUAAGCCCUAGGCGAAGGCCGAUGCCGAUGGGCGGUCCAUAAGACCCGGUAUGGCGGACCACCCCCGGCGGGCGAAAGGGAAUCCGGUUCCUAUUCCGGAACCCGGCAGCGGAACCGUUCCAAAAUCGGGCCCUCGCGAGAGUGUUCGUCGGGGUAACCCGAAAGGACCCGGAGACGCCGUCGGGAGAUCUGGGAAGAGUUUUCUUUUCUGCAUGAGCGUUCGAGUUCCCUGGAAUCCUCUCGCAGGGAGAUAGGGUUUGGGACGCGAAGAGCACCGCAGUUGCGGCGGUGUCCAGAUCUUCCCCUCGGACCUUGAAAAUCCGGGAGAGGGCCACGUGGAGCAUUCGCGCCGGCUCGUACCCAUAUCCGCA
rnacentral:rRNA from 1 species